rnacentral:tRNA from 1 species
GGGGAUUUAGCUCAGCGGCAUAAGCACCUGCCUUGCAAGCAGGCGGUCGUGGGUUCGAUCCCCU